rnacentral:rRNA from 1 species
AUACGAGGGGUGCAAGCGUUAAUCGGAAUUACUGGGCGUAAAGCGUUCGUAGGCGGUUUGUGAAGCAAGAUGUGAAAGCCCUGGGCUCAACCUGGGAACUGCAUUUUGAACUGGCAAACUAGAAUACUGUAGAGGGUGGUGGAAUUUCCAGUGUAGCGGUGAAAUGCGUAGAGAUUGGAAGGAACAUCAGUGGCGAAGGCGGCCACCUGGACAGAUAUUGACGCUGAGGAACGAAAGCGUGGGGAGCGAACAGGAUUAGAAACCCUUGUAGUCC